CGCUCAUGCCAGCCGCCGCCCGCUGCGCAGCUCGGAGAUCGGCGCGACGAUGGCCCAAGCAAACGAUAGUAGGAGAUGGUGACACCACCGCGACACACCUCGCCGCCGCACGCGCGCAGCCAAAGCUGCACGCAGCACUACCAUGGCGCCCUUUGCUGGCCACGCGUGCACGCGAGGAGCCUCACGGCCGCGGCGGUGCUUGCUAGUGCACCGGUGGCGAGCUCUCGGAAAAAUCCAUCGUCGUCGUCUUAGCAGUCCAUGCACUUGGAUCUCGCUACGGCCGGACUGGAUCUGCCUUCUGGAUAGCGAGCAGCAGUGCUCGAGCUGGUGGUUCCAUGGAGCUGUUCAUCUAUUGUAGUUUCUGGCUUGCUACUUUUCCUUUAUUAGAGAGAUCUAGUGAAGGGGAGGAGGAGGAGUAGAUCUAAUGAUGAUUUGGUGACUUUGUCUGCCUAGGCAAAGUCAUAGGUAAGGUCAUGAUAAAUAGGUACUCGAUGUACAGGGACGUGCAUG